rnacentral:rRNA from 1 species
AUUGAACGCUGGCGGCAGGCCUAACACAUGCAAGUCGAACGGUAACAUUUMUAGCUUGCUAGAAGAUGACGAGUGGCGGACGGGUGAGUAAUGCUUGGGAACUUGCCUUUGCGAGGGGGAUAACAGUUGGAAACGACUGCUAAUACCGCAUAAUGUCUUCGGACCAAACGGGGCUUMGGCUCCGGCGCAAAGAGAGGCCCAAGUGAGAUUAGCUAGUUGGUGAGGUAAAGGCUCACCAAGGCAACGAUCUCUAGCUGUUCUGAGAGGAAGAUCAGCCACACUGGGACUGAGACACGGCCCAGACUCCUACGGGAGGCAGCAGUGGGGAAUAUUGCACAAUGGGCGAAAGCCUGAUGCAGCCAUGCCGCGUGUGUGAAGAAGGCCUUCGGGUUGUAAAGCACUUUCAGUUGUGAGGAAAAG